UUCACUUUUAUUAGUAUUCAAUAAUUUUAUUCUUAUAACGUGCUUUCACUUCACUACUGAGCGAAGCUUUGUGUGCCCUGGGUAUGUGCUGUGGUUUGCUGUGAUGCUCUUAUGCUUACUAUAUUGAAAGUGUUUUGCGUAGGAUGUGUACAGUGCAUAGUAGUGUUAUUUUCUGUAUCUUACAUCUAUUUGCUAGUCCUGGUGUUUUUCUUAUGUAUUUCAAUAUUUUUAUCAUACUUAAUACGCCCACUAUGAUAGGAAUUGUUUCUGUUUUUGUAUUUCGAAAGAUUCUCCGUUACUUUUAAAGAAAUGUUGUCAUCUGUUGCUAUUGAUAUAUCAAUGAGAAAGCAUAUUAUUAUUAUUAUUAUUAUGCUGAGAAAGUUUUUCAUGGUGGAUCAAAACAUGUGAUAUAUAAUUUUUCCUCUUCAUUCUGAAAGUAAAUCCCAAACAUGAGUUUUCUUUUCACAACACAAUUAAGACUAGCUAAAGAAAGAGACAAAUGUUUGAGGGUCAGUUCACUUGAGUAUAUUUCUAAUAUAUCGCUACAAGCCGACGAGUGAAAUCAUUAAAUAAUAUCAAAAAUAUAUUAAGAAAUCAAAAUCGUGUACUACAUCGAACGGAUAAUGUUGAUAUAAAACCCAAAGUUAAGAGUACUUGUAUGAUUGAUGCUUAUUGUUACAGUAACUAAAACCUUUCACUGUAGUAAAACACAUAGAGUUCCAUCCACUCAGAGACGUAUCUGAGAAUAUGUGAUUAUCAGCGAAAGAAGAAUUUGAAGCUUGAACAUAUAUAAGAUAAUUUUGUUCAAGUGAAAUUGAUGGAAAUCAUCGAUAAAGGAUGCGUCUUAAACUUUCCUUGGUUUUGUACAACAUCAAAGGAAGUAAUUUUCAUAUCUAGUAACAUAUAAGUGUUGGUUAGAGAAGCUUCGGUCUAGUAUCAAAUAUAAUUUGCUAAAAUUUCAUAAGAUGAUUUGAGAAAUCGUAUGAUUUUCUGCAUUUCAGCGUAAAAGUUAUAGAUGUUUGGCCUAAAUUAUUAGAUUUCUCCAUACAGAAACACUGAGCAUCUCCUUAAGAACACAAAGAAACGCACACGAACAUACUUGAAUAGACACUUAUACGUUCAUCUUCAUACAUUCUAUGUUUUUGUCCAUGUGUGUUUGUGUGAGAGAGGGACAGUGAGUGGGUGUGAGUGCAUACAUACAUACAUAUAUACAUUCAUACAUACGUAUAUAUACAUUUAUAUAUAUAUAUAUAUGAGAAUAUAUAUACAUAUAUCUAUCUCUCUCUCUCUCUCUCUCUCUCUCUCUCUCUCUCUCUAUAUAUAUAUAUAUAUAUAUAUAUAUAUAUAUAUAUAUAUAUAUAUAUAUAUAUAUAUAUAUAUAUAUAUAUAUAUAUGUAUAUAUAUAUAUAUAUAUAUAUAUAUAUAUAUAUAUGUAUAUAUAUAUAUAUAUAUAUAUAUAUAUGUAUAUAUAUAUAUAUAUAUAUAUAUAUAUAUAUAUAUAUAUAUAUAAGCAAACCUGACUAUCCAUCUACCAAAAAGGAUGGAAACAGACAGCGCACACGUGUGUGUAGGUUCUACCUGAGGGGUGUCUGCUGGCAUGGAGAGGAAGGUGCAGGCUGCAGUUUUGCACAUCGGGGACCCUGCCGCAGAGACACGAAACAGGUCAGAAACCAACUACCAAAAGGAAAAGGGAUGGACCACGCACCACCUGCCCCAAAACGGAGGUACGCAGAUGCGGUGCGUGCUACAAACCACCAACAUGUUAUUGAAAGGGCAGCUGCUGAACAAGAAUCCUUUUUGUGCAUGACACAAAAGAUUGUACAGCAGCUAACCUGGCUCCAUCAAACUCAAACUCGCAGAUGGGACUAUCCACAAUACACAAGACCACCACAGCAAAUAGACCCAAGGUGGACACCGCCGGCAACAGCAUACACUUCACCUCGAUGCUCCUACUGAACCUCAGAGGACUGCUAACACUCAGUAACAGGACAAAAAUCCCGUUCUUGAUAGUCUUUGUUGCAUGCAAUCAAGCCUUAUGCAUAGCACUUACGGAAAUACACCUGAAACCGGACAUAGCAGAUGCGGAAUUACACAUACCACAGUAUGUUGUACUACGGACCGACAGAAAAGAAAUGAUUCAUGGAGUAGUUGCUAUGUACAUCCGUGAGGACCUCACACCCCAGGUCCUUUUGUCAUACUCAAACUCUGUGUGUGACACACUAAUUUACAUAUGAGGCAACUUGGUGUAGUUGUGCGUGCUACAUAUCGCCCUCCAUAUGCCCCAAGCCAUGUAGGCAAGUUUGAAGACUGCCUUAUAAAAAUAGAAGAAGUUCUAGUCACAUUAGAACAACACAUAAGUGUACUUCUUAUGGGAGACUUCAAUCUACUCAAUGUCAGAUCGCCCGAGGGCCUUUCUCUCCCAGGAAUGGCAUGAUGUGAACGAGGACAGGCGAGGUCCCUCCUGAACCUCAUCAACAGCCUGUACAUGGAGCAAGCAAUACUCCAACCAACCAGGGAUCUCUGCUUCACAAAUAAUAUGGAUCUCAUCCAUAAUGUGAAAGUGACACCGACUCUACUCUCGGAUCACAACAUGGUAGAGCUGACCAUGUACGGGCCAAAGGAAAGCAUGGACAUGCAGCCUACAAGAAACUCUCAGAAUCUUUCCAACUUGAACUUCUAUAAGGCAAACUGGAAACAAAUUGAGAAAGAGAUCCUCAAACAAAACUGGCCUGAGUGUCUCUCCUCGCCAGACAUCGACAUGAAACUUCAACAAUUCAUGUCUGUAAUGCAAACCAUAUGCUACAAAUGUGUCCCAGAGAGAAAGGCCACUGUACACAAGAACAAAAUCCCCAGAGAGAGGAGAAUUCUAAUGAGACGGCGUACAAAAGUUUAAAAUCGCCUAAACAAACAAAUUGAAAGCAGUGAAAAGUCCCGCAUGAAAAUAAAACUGUUGGAAAUUGAAAAAUGUCUGCAACUCUCCCAUGAAAAGGAAAGAGCAGACAAAGAAGCCUGGGCUAUAGACAACAUAAAAUCUAACCCCAGAGCUUUCUACAAGUAUGCCAAAGAAACAGCUACGGUGCACUGUAGGAUAGGGCCACUACUUGAAAAGAAUGGCACACUCACAAGAAAUCCAAUGACGGUAAGUGAAAUACUAAAUGAGCAAUUCAAAAGUAUUUUCACCCCACCCCUUGGGCAUUUCCAAAUCAGCAAUCCAACUGACUUCUUUACCACUGCAGAUAUAAAAUCAGAACCAGUGAUGAUUGAUUACAUCAAUAUAAAGAAAGACGAUGUAAUAAAGGCUAUAGAUGAAAUGAAAACAAACUCAGCUACUGGCCCCGAUGGAUUUCCGGCAAUCCUUCUAAAAGUAUGUAAGAGAGUCCUAGCAACACCAGUGCAGUUCCUCUUUCAAAGCUUCCUUGAAACUGGCAAACUUCCAAGAAAACUGAAGGAAGGUAAAAUAUGCCCUAUUCAUAAAGGAUGUAGCAGAGCGGAGGCCAAGAACUACAGACUUAUAUCUCUGACCUCACACAUAAGCAAGGUCAUGGAACGAAUAGGCAGAAGGAAACUAAUAACCUUCCUUGAAGUAAAUGAUUUGCUGCCUGACACCCAACAUGGUUUCCGACCAGGAAGAAGCUGCUUAACUCAGCUCCUACAACACUAUGACUGGGUGCUGAAACGACUGUUCAACCACUCAAAUGUGGAAGUGAUACAUCUCGACUUUGCAAAGGCCUUUGAUAAAGUCGAUCAUGGAAUGAUAUGUCACAAACUGCGUGAUCUUGGCAUAGUUGGAAAAUUGGGAGAAUGGUUUCAUGACUUUCUGAAGGAUAGAAGUCUGGUGGUAGUAGCCAAUGGGGCCACUUCUAUUAACACGCAAAUGGUGAGUGGUGUUCCGCAGGGCACUGUUUUGGGACCACUACUGUUCAUAAUAGCCCUCACAUACAUGCCCUCAGCCACGCAGAGAGCCGCGAUCACAAGUUAUGCAGAUGAUACAAAAGUUCCACAGGUAAUACAGAACCCUGAAGACACUAAGCACCUGCAAUGUGAGCUGGACAAAAUAUACAAGUGGGCUGAAAAGAAUAGCAUGCAGUUCAAUGCUGAAAAGUUUCAAGCUUUAUGCUAUCAGCAUGCUAAACUAAAUGCAAUACCCAAUGAAUACACUGGACCCGGAGGGACUGCAAUCAGAGAGGCACAAUCAGUGCGUGACCUGGGUAUUUACAUAAGUGAUGAUGCAACCUUUCAUGUACAUGCUGCUAAAUUGGCAACGAAAUGUAGACGGCUGGCCGGAUGAAUUCUUAGAACCUUUAGAACAAGAGAACAAGAAGCCAUGAUGGUCCUCUGGAUGACACAUGUCCUAAGCCACUUUGACUAUUACUCUCAGCUAUGGUCACCAUCCAGUGUCAAGUUGAUCACAGAACUUGAGGCGAUCCAACGAAGCUACACGAAGAAGAUAGCCUCUGUGUAGCAUAUAAACUACUGGGAAAGACUCAAGAGAUUAAAACUCUAUUCCUUGGAGCGUAGGCGAGAAAGAUAUGCCAUAAUAUACAUCUGGAAGAUCCUGGAAGGACUUGUCUCAAACUUUGGCAUCGAGAGUUACACAAAUGCCAGAACUGGGCGCCACUGCGUGGUGCCAAGGACUCCAAAUUUGCCAUCAAGAUGUAGGACAAGAUACUGUGAUAGCCUGGGCUUCAGAGAACCACAGGUCUUGAAUAUCCUCCCGAAGAACCUGAGGGACCUGCAUGGGGUGGAUGCGGGUGUAUUUAAAGUAAGAAUGGAUCUCUUCCUGUCAGGUGUCCCGGAUGAACCAACUUCACGGCAGGAGGUGCAGAUGAGGGCAGCUGCAUCGAACUCUUUCAUGCACCAAAUGGCAGUUGCUAAAAUGCAUUCGUGAAGUAAAAUCAUGUACCAACACCAAAUGGCGGUGCCCCAGCAUGGCCACAGCUCGUGAGCUGAAAGUAGAUAAAAUAAAAAAAAUUUAAAAUAAAAUAUAUAUAUAUAUAUAUAUACAUAUAUAUGUAUACAUAUAUCUAUCUAUCUCUCUCUCUCUCUAUAUAUAUAUAUAUAUAUAUAUAUAUAUGAGAUAUUCCGCCGUGACCAUCACGUGUAUUAGUAUAUUGGCAACUAUAUCAUCAAAAUUAUCUUUUUGUACGUUUUGGCCCUGUCUCAGGCAAAGCUAACACAAAUACGAAAGCGCGCGCAUGUACGCUCACACAGAGACAAACAUAUAACUCAACGGUUUGGCGUAAUUGCCUGGCAAAAGUUAACUUCCCGACUACAUGUUUCCGGAUUCAGUCCCACUCAGUGGCACUUUCGGCAACCGUCUUCUGGUAAGCUUCGGGCUGACUAAAACUUUGUGCGUGGAUUUCAUUGAUGGAAACAGAAAGAAAUCCGUGAUAUAUAUGUAUGAGUGAGUAUGUGUGCAUGUGUAAGUUUAUUUGCGUGUAUGUGAGUGUGUACGUGUAUCUGUGUGUAUACAAACGUGUUUAUUAGAUUGAUCUUCAAAUUAUCUCCCCAUGAAUUAGUAGUUCGGCAAGAAAACGUCGGACUGAAUAAAUACCAAGGUAAAUAAAAAAAAAAAAACCUAAUUGGACAGUAUUUGAUUCGUUCGACUAAAUCCUUUACAAAAAAUGCAUCAUAUUAUAUGAAUUAAAUGCGCUAACAUUAGUUUCACGUACAUAGGUAUGUUCCUCCAAGUAGUAAAUAAAUCCAUGUUUGUGCGAAGCCUGAUAGUUUUUCAGUUUUCAGUGUACUCCAUUAAAUCGCAAUCGUGCCAAUAAUUAUAAAGUACUCAUUUUAUUGAUUUUUACAGAAGUUAAUUGUGCAUAUUCAACCCCUUUACAAGGGCUGGCGAUUGCAUAAUUAUAAGUAACAUGAUUGGCACGAUUGCGGUUUAAGAGAGUCGUUCUGAAAACAAAAACGACAAUUACGCUUCGCAGAAACAUAGAUCCAUACCACUUGGAGCCAUCAGCGCCUGAUGAACAUACUUAUGUACGUGAAACUAUUAGUAGUACAUAAAAUGUAUGUAGUAUGAGGUAUUUAUAGUAUAUAUAUAUAUAUAUAUAUAUAUAUAUAUAUAUAUAUAUAUAUAUGUAUGUAUAUAUAUAUGUAUAUAUGUAUGUAUAUAUGUAUGUAUAUACGUAUAUAUAUAUAUAUAUAUAUAUAUAUAUAUAUAUAUAUAUAUGUAUGUAUAUGUAUAUGUACGUAUAUAUGUAUGUAUGUAUAUAUAUGUAUGUAUAUAUAUAUAUAUAUGUAUAUAUGUAUGUAUGUAUAUAUGUAUAUAUAUAUACGUAUGUAUAUUGGAAUUCCAACUCGGUUUUUUAUGUUUUAUUCAUAUUCUUUAUAAUAUUAAUGUAGAAUAUAGAAUUUGUAGUAUAAAUAGUAUAUAUAGUAAAAUGAAAUGAAGUAUUGGUUGUCUUAUUAAAUAGAUGAAAUACUAAAUAUCAAAUAUUAAGGGACUAGUAUACUUUCUUGCAUUUAAACAGUCUUCACGUGCCCAGGUUGUGACAGGAAUGGUUCAACUGUACUUGGCUUGCUGUCUUUUGUUCUUUAUAUAUGUUCAUGUGGACAGCAGUAGGAAUUGCUUGGCUAUUUUUUGAGAUGAUUCCAAACCAUUUUUCAAUGUUUAUUUUUAGAAAUGAUGACAGCAGUACGUUUUAGAGGUUUUUUGUGUUUUAGUUAUAGGGAUAGGAUUUUUAAGCCCCAAGUAAGAUUAAUUUAAUCAUUGUUUGUUAAGCUUGGGUUUGAAUUUCUUAAUAAAGUCCUUUUCUCUCAGUUUUCUCUCAAUUUCCUUCAGGUUGUAAAGUUUAUGAAAUGGGAAUAUCAUAAAUGUUUUCCGAUCACAUGUUGCUAGAUGGUUACUCUGUGGUAUUUGGCAGAAUUCUUGGUUUUUAAUUAAAAACCCAGAUGUUAAAAGUUAUAUUUUCAACUGAUAUUUGACUUACGGGGGUUGAAAUAAAUUGAUAUUGAAUUAUACAAUACUUACCUAUGUAUUCCACGCAAGGUAGGCGUAGCUCACCUAUGUUCAUUGCGUUAAAUUCCUCUCCAUGUAAAUAUACCCGUUCUGAUUGCCUUGUUUUCUUCUCUCACAUUAGCAACUGUGUUUUGAAUUGCAUGCCAGCUUAUUUCUUAGCAUUUUCAGAUGCAAAACAUUCAGGGGGUCGUUUAGCUUAAUGGUACAGCACUCAGACAGUUUCUAACGGGUAUGUAUUCAUCACACGUAGCAGUCCGCUAGCAACUGGCGCUACUCCAUCAUGGAUACAGCCUUUGAGCUGAAACAUAUGAAAGAAUAUAACAGAAAAGAAGCAUAUAUAUAUGUAUAUAUAUACACACACGUGUGCGCGCACACAUAGGAGUAUAUAUGCGCAUGCACACACAUUCACACACACAUACACACACACAUACAAUUACAUUGCACUACGGCUUAUUUUCAAUUCCGUGUACUACAUCCAUUCCAUAACAUGCAGUCAACCUGACGCUACAGCAGAAGACAUUUGUCUACUGUGUCACGAUGUCGGCGUGUACUCAAAAACUAGACGUUCACUAGGUAAUGUUUGUAACCACACAGCCAAAACAGUCUGUCUGUCUGUCUAUCUAUCUAUCUAUCUAUCUAUCUAUCUAUCUAUCUAUCUAUCUAUCUAUCUAUCUAUCUAUCUGAGCGUGUCUGCAUAUGCGGACGACAUCACGGUCAUAGUGUUUAGCCAAAAGCACAUGGAGCUGGUCGGCGAGAUACUGAAAGACUACGAAGCGGUAACAGGGGCGAAAAUCAACGGGGAAAUGUAAGUGGACUUGCGGCUCAGCACCUGGAGAAGCAAGCCCAUGCCGUCCACCAGUGCUUCCGUCGUGGGACGCUGGAUCGACGGUCCGGUCGAGUUGCUCGGAGACUGGAACGAAAUAACGAGUAGGGUGGUUAGUAUCUCCUGGUAAUUGGCCGAGAGGAAACUGUCUCUAAAAGGUCGGGCGGAGGUGGCGAACACGUACAUCACAGCCGUCAUCUACUACUGCCUGACUGUCGUGCCUUGUCCCGACCCUACCAUCACUAAACUAGAACGCACUCUCUUCCGCUUCUUUUGGAAAUGAUGCGUCCCGUGGACAGACGAUCCAUUUGCUGUCAACAUCCGUUAAAAGGAGGGGUGGGUCGGCCGUGGUUGAUGAUGCGCAGGCAUGCGCUGAGACUGUGAUAUCUCCAGCUCUACGUAGACGACGGUGAACAGGUGUGGUCGCCGUUUGUGCAGCACACUUGAGAAACACGGGGCCGACCUGCCCGAGAUGCGGUCCGAGCGACGAAACCGUUCUGCACGCGCUCGUGCUGUGUCCAACCAUUUCCGACCAGUGGGCUUAUGUCAAACGACUGCUGUCACGUGUGUGUCGAGUCGGUUUAUCAGCCGAGUCUAUCGUCAAUACCGUCACGCCUCCUUCCUUCAAACGAGAAGGAAGAUCUAUUUUCAUCAUACUUGUGGCUACGGCGAAAGAACGUAUCUGGCGGACGCGUCUGAAAAGAUAAGUGACAAACACUUUCCUCUCUGGUCAAUCUCUUAUCAAUUUCUUCAAGUAUCACUUGAAAAGGAAUGUGAGAGUAGAGAGGCAAAUUUUGUCUAGCGAAUGUUUAAAAAAAAAGAUGACUGAAUGUAGCAAGGAUGGCACGUAUGAAUGACGAAGACAUCUUGAGCACAAUCCUAUGAACCUGGAAAAAUUUAAAACAGAGAGUUAGUUAUUGCAAAUCCGUGUGUUAACAUGUGGCAUUAUUGGCCGAGGUUACCGUGGUCUUUUCCGUAGGCUUUUCCUUCCACAGAUAAAUAUUAUUUGUUUCCCCCUUACACUUUACAUCAUGACAUUUCUGUGAUACACGAUCUCUAUUGAUCGUUUUUCUUUCUUGUUUUUCUUUUUUUUCUUUUUUUACGAUCCUUUUGAUCGAAAACCUCCCCACCUUUUUUUCUCCCCGCAAAGAAAAGCUCUACUUUGUAAGUUGUCCCCUCUUUGUUCAGCCUUGUGUGGCUAAUAAAGAAACAUAUCUAUCUACCAAAAGAAAUUGACAAGCAGGCACACGGACAGAUACAUAAAAUAGAAUAGAAUAGAAUAGAAAAGAUAAAUAGAUAGAUUGUCAGAAAGAUAGAUAGGGAGAUAGAGAGAUAGAUCGAGAGAGAAAGAGAGUGUGUGUGAGAGUGUGUGUAAACAGGCUCACUCAGACACAUACUGGUUUUAACAGUGCUUGCGUCCAUACGCACGACUUUGUACGUUAGAGUUAUGUUUACCUGUGUGUGCUUAUAGUUAUACAUACCUGUCAAUAUAUGUUUGUGUUUUUAUGUGUUUCUAAGAUCUUGUAAAUGUAUAUGUGUAUCUGCAUUUCAAUAUGCGUGUAUGUAUGUGUAUAAUUAAAAUAUAUUAAAGUUAAUCCGAUUAUAGUAAUCUGCACUACAGUUGCUGCGUUAAUCCUUUUGUGAUGGAACAAAAUUUUGAUCUUUCGAGAUUACAACGUGAAGUAAAAACGUAAUUAUAUAAUUAAUACAAAGAACAAAAACACACACCAUGUGAAACAGAAACAAACAAACAGGAAAUGUUUCGCGAAAUGCUGUAUAUAAAAAUUCUAGAUGUUUGAUGUUUACGCAGUAUUAAAAUAUCAUCAGUAAUAAUGGUAAGACCAUUAGAAGUGUCAUGUAGCAAGAAAGAUAUUUUCGAAUUUGACUAUUUCCGUAGUUCCUUCUUGGUUGCAUCUGUGUAUAUAUUCAAUAUAGUGUGUUGGAUAUUUAGCCUUCAUGUGUCUGGAAAUUUGUAAGUAUCUCGUUACUUUUGUUUGCUCAGUUCCUCAAAUAAUGAUUAUUAUUAUUAUUAUUAUUUUUAUUGUUAUUAUUAUUAUUAUCAUUAUUAUUAUUAUUAUUAUUAUUAUCAUUAUUAUUAUUAUUAUUAUUAUUAUUAUUAUUAUCAUCAUCAUCAUCACGCAUUUAUUUAUUUAUAUAUCUUUCAAUUUUUCCGGGUUGAGUGCAGGAAACAAAACUAGGACACCGAAUAUAAUUAGAAAAUAGAAAAACGAAAUAAAUAUAUUUUUACUAUGAGUCAGCGGUGGGAAUAUAAAUAUAAACUGGCGUUAGUUUACUUCUAUGUAUGUGUGUAUGUAUGUAUGCGUAUAUAUGUAUAUAUGUAUGGAUGGGUGUAUGAAUGUAUGUAUGUGUAUGUGUAUGUACGUAAGCAUGCAUCUAUGUACAUUUGUCCGUCUAUCUGUCUGUAUGUUUGCCUGUCUCUCUGAUUAUCUGUCAGUCUCUCUCUAUAUAUAAAUAUACAUACGUGCGCAAAUAAAUCAAAGAAGCAGCAAGUUACAGGCAGAGAGAUAGCUGUGCUUUUCUAUGUGCGUGCAUGUGUGUUUGUGUGGGUGCUUGUGACGGAGGAAGAAAGAGAGAGAGAGAGAGGGAGAGAGAGUGUCUCUGAUAUGUGUGGAAAUUUUGAGUGGGAUAUAGAUACAAGGAUAUAUAAAUAGACAAGGUAGGCAGAUAAAGACGGAAGAAUAAGAGCUUAUCUCACGGUUGAAUUUAGAAACUACAGACAUACGCAAGACAGACCCAUACACAGUUAUACAUAUGCAUGCAUGUAUUUGUAUAUCUUUCUAUUCAUUUUUCUUCUUUUUUUUGCCCACUUCAUGUGUAUACAUAAAUGUUAUAUUAUUUUAGAAAUUUUAGAAAUAGCCAGAAACAAUGAGACAAAACGAUUUCUCUCCACUUGCAGUUAAAAUAUUCUAACACACACAGACACACACCCACACAUGCACAGAGAAAGACAGACACACACACGAAUAUAUGUACAGGCUCACAAACGUGCGUCUGUAUGUAUAUAUAUAUAUAUAUUCAUUGAGAAUAAUUUGAACCCCUGUUAUGCCGGAAUUUUUAUUCCCUAACAAAUAAAAUUAAGAAAAUAUGUAUGUAUAUAUAUAUAUAUAUAUAUAUAUAUAUAUGUAUGUAUAUUUGUGUAUAUGUAUGCAUGGAAACGUAUAUGUAAAUACAUAUAUAUGUAUGUAUGUAUGUAUGUAUUGUAGUAAGUGAAUUGCCGUCUUAGAAAGAAAUCCUAGUAUAUGUAGUUAAAUCGAAUUUAGAUUUUCGUUUUUAGUUUUAACUGUCCCUUAAGCUUUGUUUCAAGUGAAAAUCUAUCUUUAACAUCGUGACUGAAUUCAUUGUUUUGCUUUAGGCCAAGUGAAUUUAAAAAAAAGUAAGAACAAAUAAUGAUUAAAAUCGAAAAUAAUACUAUUACUUCAAGAAACUCAGAAACAUAUCUGUUAAACUAGUUAUUAUCAUAUUUUUGAACGUGGCAGAUUAGGAUGUUAUUUAAUUCAAAUUACUGGAAAUUAUUAUCUGCAUUUUAUUUUCAAUGUUCAUUAUAAUAAGGCUGAAAACUCCACUUAUCUGCUUGCUUCUCUUUUCACUAACAUGCAUAUUUACAUGCAAUAGUAUAAACUUAGCAUAUGGACAAAAUAUACAAAGGUAUAUAGAUAAAAAAAAGAAUUGCUACUAAUACAUAAUGAAUAAUAUUGCUGUUUACAUUGCCACAAUGAAAUAAUAGGCAAAAUAUUUAUUAUUAGAAUUAUUAAAAUCAUUUUGGAUUAGCAAGAUUCGUAAGAAAUCUAGGAAACAUCAUAUAAAUACAUUACUGACGACCAUUUCCAAGGUUUUGAGUACGAAUUCACCUGGAUCAACUUAGUCUUUCUAAAACAUAAGAUAUAUAUAGCGUAGACCCAGUUCUAGAGUUGAUUUGGCCGUUUGUCAUGUCCCUUCAUACCAGAAAGUCGAACGAAUAUAUUAGAGAAAUUUGUUUCGUUUAUUACUAAAGAAAGCUCGAUUUCUUUAGUGCCGACAUGAUUCCAUAGCAUACUUAGAUACGUACAUUCAUUUUGAAUUCCAUACCUGUCUCCUAUGCCAAACGUGCUAAUGAUUCUUACGUAGUUGAUAGCAUCAAGUACUACGAUAGCGUUGAUUUACCGAAAGAUAAGUCUACCCAGCAGAUGACGACAAAAUGGCAAUGUAAAAAAAGUGUCUCCUUGAUAACAUUAAUUUUCAGAAUCUAUGAAGUACCAGACUCAUCUAAUCCAUUUACAUUGCGAAUCCAACUACCAAUCUCAGGUUGUUUUUCUGAGGGCCCAAAACUUAAGUUUAAAUAAAAAAAAUAGGACUCAGUAUAGUCGGCCAUUGUCUACUUUAAGAUAUCUAGACAGGUAUCUCUAUCAAAAUACGCAAUUAUAUUUAUUAUUAUAAAUUCCAAUGAUGGAUAUUGCAAUACAAGACAGUGGACUAUCGGAUUUUAUGAUCAGAUUUAAUGAUCUCUGAAAUUUCAUCAUAUAAUCGAAUGUGGUAAGGUGGUUAUGAGUUUUCUAUUUAAUUCCUACUGGACUGAAAGCUUUAGGUAACGUCAAUUUUCUCAACAAUGGCUUUGCUUUUGUUGUUAAAAUUAUCUUUAAGAAAUGAGAGUUUCUGUGAUAAAUAAUCUAUCGCAAAUUGGAGAGCGUUCUAUACAGAAUAAAACGUAGACAGUGAAAAUUUGAGAAUUUCACAAAUAAUUUUCUCUUUUUAAAGGAAAAAUACUUAUUUUGAAUUCUCAUUUCUAAAACUCAACAAUAACAAUGAUAAUAGUGUUUCCUUUUUUGCUAAGUGACGUAAGAUAUCGUAUAGCUGACAGUGACAUAAAGUCUUACUUUAUGUAAAUUUCAAGCAUAAACACUUUAUGUAAAUUUUCAAGCAUAAACACAAGAACUCAUUUUUCAGAAGCACUUCUUCGAGUGUUACUCGUUUUACAUUUCUAAUUAGAUAAUUGCUUUGUUUUUCCUAUUGCAAUUAGGAAUAUUGUAAAUAGUUAUUGUGAAUUAUGGAGUAACAUAUAUGGAAAAAAUAAAUUAUACCAGGAGGUAAUUGGAAUAGAUGAAUGUCAAGUUUGACUCAGAAUACUUAUUAAACAUACUAAGCGGAAGUAAUUAAAGCUAGUAAUUAAAUGCAUCGCGUGCCAGUUCUACAAUACAACUCUCUUUUCAUUAAUCAUAACAAUUUUAAAUAUAUUAUCGACCACAUUUGAUCUCUCGUGUCCCAGUUUUAGUAAACCUUGCCUAAAAGCGUUGAUAAUCUUUCUAUCAUUUAUUUGCUAGAUUUCGUUCAAUUGACUACGUCACUAAGUAAAGUCUCUCAGAAUACUAUUUUAAGGAAGCGAUUAUUCGUACUUUUUGAGGUUCACAAUUCAUGCAGAUUUUUAUAUGUAAAUAUAUUAUACUUUAUCUUUCAUUAUAUAUUUUUUUAUCUAUAUAUAUUUAUUUAUUCAUUGUUUUUCAGAUUUUUUCUUGGAACAACAGAAAAAAUAUGAAUUCUGAAACGCUGAAAUUAUUUUCGGAAGGUCUAAAUAUGUGAAUAAUGGUGAUAUUUACGAAAACAUAGGUGGAGAUUAGAAGUAGAAAGACGGAGACGGAUAACCAGUGGGUAUCAAAAGAAACAAAAAUUAGUAACUUUUAAAUAUAUGUCAACAUGAAAUUAACACUGAACUUGACCUGAAUUCAAUAAGUCCAGGAAUUACAGGGCUUUACGAUUUGUGCGAUUUGAAUUUUCAAAAACGCAAUUGCACAAAAUAGCAAUGCCAAAAGAAGAACAAGAUUUGUACACCAAAAGAGGAACCAUAAGGAUGAACGGAAAUAUCUGGGGAGUACAAAUAUUUCUUGUAGCUAUUAUAUGCACCUACAGUUUUCGUUCUGUGGAAUGUCUUCCAAGGACAAUUCGUGUCGGUAAGUCCCAUUUAUAAUAUAAAUUUUAUACUAAGUUAUAAUAAAAAUAUCAUCUUCGAUAAAAUAUGCACAAUGAUAGUAUCACUAAUUAAGAAUCAUGCAAUUUUACGGCAGUAUCAUUAACAUAACAGAAAUGUGAUUUCUAGCAAAUGCAGUGUGUCUCAUAUUUUGUAGGAAAUUGUGAAUGUUAUUGCCGUAUACUUUAAUUGUAAUAACUGUAUCCAUCAAAAGAAAAUGAAACGAAAAUUAUUACGAAUGUUUUCUAAUUAUUUACAGUCGAUCAUUUAAUAGAGUUGAACUCAAAUAUUUAUUAUAAUCUGGUAUAUCUGAAACAGAGGUAAAUUGAUAUUUUCUUAUUUAAACGAACGAUAUAUCCCAGAUCCAAUCACCCGUGAAGAAAUUUCAGUCACUGAAAUUUGAUAUUUCUAUUAUUUUUAAUCUUCAUAUAUUUUUCCAAGCUUCUCUCAGUGUAUGAGGAACAUCAGAACUAUUGAAACCAUCAUCUAAAACUCUAAACCUUCAGAACCACAACAGUAGAAUAGACGCAGUAGUAUAUACGUUAGUAAAAAGAAAAAAAGAUUAUCAAAUGGUCGAAAUCAACUGGGAUUAGCCAAGGAUUCAUAAAGGUAAACUUAUCAUCUGAACAGAAUUCUGAUCUGUAAAUAACCAGUCUUUCCUUUCUAACUGAAUGCAAAACCGUGCUCUUGGAAAUAUAGAGAUUUGUAACUGUCGUUGGAAAAUAGUUAUCAAGGUAAAAAAAAUAAAUAAAUUCAUUCGAUUGUAUAAUUAGACUCUCGUUAUGAUGAGUGUUUAUGAACAUAAUUAUAAGAAUAAUUAUAACAAAUUCCAAAAUAGAUGUAGAAUUAUAUGCGGAAAUAUUCCAACGGCGCUAGUAUAAUUAAAGUUCACAGAGAAUAAUACAGUCACUCACAGGUAACUUAGUUCAUAGAAUUUUGUCACUUAAAUAAAUAUAAUAAUAUUAAUAAUUUAGAAGCAAGCCAGUUCUUUUCCUACGGCUCAAGAUUGUCAACUUAAAUUUGUUUUCAUCAGACAAGUACAAUAAACUCUGAUAUAAGUGCAAAUUAUUUAAUACAGUUAAACAAUGUAGUCCCUUCAACGCAUUGUGUUAUAUAUUGCAGAAACAUAUAAUCUACAGUCUCUACAUUUGAAUAAGUGAAAUAUUUGGAGAUUGCUUGACAUUGCUCGCAUGGAAAAUACGAUAGCUGUUGUUGACAAACAGCGGCAGUAAUUUUAUUCAGCGGAAUACACGUCAUUGAUUGGUUGAAAUUACCGAAAUAGGAUUAAUUUUACGUGAAAUUGCUUCGUAAAUAUAAGUUUUUCUCAAAAAUGCUAAGAGUAAAAGAUGUUUUAUACGACACAUUCUACCGGUAUACGAAUUUUGAAAUUACUUAGUUAC
rnacentral:lncRNA from 1 species